GACAGGAGGGAGGGAGGCAGGGCGGGGGCCGCCCACCCGGGAGACGGAAAAAAGUCUCGGCCGAAGGUGCCGGGAUCCGGGAGGAGAGGCAGCGGUAUCGGCGGCACGCCGGGCGCAGGCUCUUCACGUGGCUGUCGCUGCAGUGUCGCCCUUCCCACGCCCGCGGUACCGUCGGCGGGAGUCGUGCGGUCGUUGGGACGCAACCGAAGCGGAGCGGCCGCGGGAAGGGCAGAGGCGGCUCCGGGGGACUCGGGACGCGUUCCCCACAAUGGCCCCUUUGAUGGUAUCUGAGCAAAAAUAUCAACCAAACCAAACCAAAACAAAUAAGGACGGGAACCUCUCGGGAGAAAACGGUGCGCAGCGGGAACAGCCCGCGGCGACCGGCCGCAUUGCCCCUGCCCUCCCCUGGGGCCGCGGCUGCCGCAGAGGAUCGUGCGGCGCUCCCGGGACGGGGCGGGGGGCGGGCGCUGCCAUCAGUCACCCCGCAGUGCGGCGCAGUGCCCGCUGUCGGGGCUCCGCACGGGCAUCUGCGGAUCAAACGUCGGUGCCGCUACAGCUGUGUGAUGCGUGCUCGCUCCGGACACCGUUCCGGCUGCAUUACGAUUUUUCUCUCUCCCCCUCUCUCUCUUUUUUCUCCCGAGGCACAGUUGUGCCGUGCUUUUCUCUUACAGAAACCCGAGCUGUCCCGUGCGUACUUCCCUGAGCCAGGCUGCUGGCAGGGCUGUGCGGCGUGGAGCCGGCUGCGAAAUCCUCCCGACAGCCCCGUUGGGGUCUCUCCUCCUGGAAACUCCCAACGCUAAGAGGGCCCCGCUGCUCCCAGCUUAGGCAGGUAACAGCCGCAAGUCGCUGCAGCGCUCGGAACCGCGGAGCCCCCGGGCGGCUUCAGUGGGGGAGCGGGGAGGAGACUGCGCACAGGUCCGGCAUCUCUCCGAGCCGCUCCCCGCCGGGUGAACGGUGCUCCGCAACGGCUGCUUUAUUGUUUUGGUAUUUUUUUCCCUCUUCUUUUUUUUCUCCCCAAUUUUCCAUCUUCAGAAGUGCGGUGCGAAUGAAGGCUGGGGCGGGGACGGCCACCGCGUGACCACGGAUCCCGCUGACCGGGAGCGCUUAUAGCGCCCGGCCCCGGGAUGCGGCGACGGCACUGGAACGGGCGUAGGGAACCGCCGGGACGUGGGGACAUGUCAGCACGGCCCGCGGGGAAGAGACGCUCCUCCGCUCCCAGUCUCCAGCAGAUAAAUCUGCCGCGUGCCCGAGAUUUCGGGAUUGCACCUUUCGGACGUGUAAGGUGCACUAGUUGGGGCGUUUUGUCCCUACAGAGCAGCAGCUCUAUCCCACGGCACUCAAGACUGUUCCGAGCUUCUUUAUGGCACUUAAACCUUCAGUUUUAGAGUUGUUUCUUGUAUUUUACCAUCUCACUUCUAAACAAACACAUCUCAUUUCUUGCACCCUGUGAGCAGCCCCGUGUGAGUAACUCUUCUGCAGCUUUUAUUUUCUCUUGCUGGGAAGCUUUCAGAGCAGCAGAGGAAGACAAUCAGCCGUGACUGACAACAAGGAGGCUGUAUUUUCUUCCUGAUGGAAUCACCGGUAACUGCUGGGAAAGCUGAUAAACAAGAAAAAAUACUGUGGCUUUUUUUUUUCUUCCCCAUCUGAUUUGAUUGUAACUAAAUGUUUGUGGUCAUUUCUAGCCAAAGUGGUUCUGACAGAUUGAGGAAAGAGCAGAGAACCGAAGAAAGCACGUGUUAUGAGUCUGAGUGAAAUAAAAGAGGAGACAGGCGGCGUUGCCGGGACUGUGGCUGCGCGGUGGGUGUGCAGCGUUCAUCCCGGUUCGCAGCGAGUAACCUGGCAGUGAGCUGCCAGCAGGGCUCCUGACAACGGGUCGCAGCGGGGCUGAGCCUUCGGUAGCUGCUGCGGAGCUGCAGCCAUGAGUGUGCAGUGAUAGAGCCGCGCUGCCCCGGCAGACUGUGCUCACACCCGCAGAUUGUUUGAUUUUACUUCAGUUCUGGGAAGUAUAAAAAUUGCAGGGAGGCUUGCUGUAAGCAAACACGAUGUCAAGCUGAUGAUGAGUUGAAAGGAACAAAUCAGUCUAUAAGGGAGGGGAAACAUAUUCGGUAUUUAUCGAUCCUUCGCAGUGGGAUCUUUCAGUGGUUAUCACUGGAGGUUAUCACUGGAGGUUAGCACCUCCGCAGAUGUGUUCUCGGUGAAGCCAGCUAUUGGCUUUUCAGGCUGCCGACUGAAAGCACAGCUCCACGUGCCCUGCAGUUUGCAUUCUCCACCUUUUGGCGCCUACAGAGAUCAAUGAAUGCACUCUCCCGGGUCGAGUGCUGCCUCCUGGCCCCCAGUCAGUAGGUGCUUGUGCAGUCCUCUUGUUAAAUACAUGAAAUGCUCAAGCUGUCACUGCUUCCUGAGUGAUGGGGAAAGGCAAGAUGUCCUCUGGCUCCAGGCUGUGCCGAAUGGUGACGGCAAGGAUGGUGGGGCCGCACCCCUGGGAUGUGGGGGCACAAACCCUGCAGGCGUGAGCCUCAUCCUUCCCUCCUCACACCUUUGCAUGCUUCCUCUGUGAGCUCGGGCACUCAGACCAAUUAAUUCCAUUAACAAAGGGUGUAAAUUAGAAGUGUCUGUGAACUGUAUUGAACCUCAAUUUGCACGGUCUUAUUCACAACAAAAGUGGCUGCAAUUUGAUUUAAAUUAAUUCACUUUCAGAAUAAAAUAACACUGAAUAGAAUAAAAGCAGCUUUAGUUUUGAAUGGUUGUCUGCAUAGAAUUGUUUGUGGUUUAACUAAUCCACUUUAAAAAUUAACUCUAUUAAUUUUCGUGGGGUUUUCCAUCGAGGUUAGCUUGCUUUCUCUGUUUCUCUCCGUCUCCUAUCAGUAAAAUGGAGAUGGCAAUAGCCUGCUAACAUUUUAAAAUUGCUGUGUUGGAUACUCCCGGUAACUGCAGCAUUUUGCCUUCCACUCGGUGUGUACGUUCCUCAAAAGCCAGGACUUGAUUUUCUACACAUGUGCAGAAUUCUUGCCUGGCGGUGUUUUACAGGCUCUGUACGCAGCUGUACAUGGCCACACAAGACAGAUAGCAGUGGGGAAUUAAGGCUCUGCUGUGCGUUUUGAACUCUGACCAAACAUCUCCUUGGCUUUGGUUCCGUGUUUUCUUCAAAGCCUGUGGGCCAAGACUUAAGAACUGUCUAACUUUCAUCAUCUUAAUGAACGGCUUCAGUGGUGUUAAUGGGAACUAGGGCACUUUCUUUAUUAAUGGAAAUCAGGUCACUUAAUUACUUAACAAAAAUGCGAGGAACCUUGUCUCACUGUUUUCUGCACUUCAUGAAUUGUGAGCUUUAAUCUGUUACCGAGAGGGCUCUGCUAAAAUGGAUGAAGCUGUAGCAGGUACAAAACUAUCUUUUUAUAGUGGAAAGACUUAUUGUGAAAAUGAACACACUAGCAUAUCUUUCCUAUUGGAAGUCACUGCCAUUUAAAUCUUUGCAGCGAUGUAGCAUGAUUUGACUAACUUGUGGUACGUAACUACUGAAAGGCCGGAUGAACACAUCAGCACAUCUUCUGUCAAAAAUGGGAACACUGAAGGGUUGUUAUUCUUUUAAAUCAAAGCUUGGUGGGUUUUGGACUAGUGGGAUUCUUUUAUUUCUUCCCAUCCCUCCCACCCAUCCUACUGUCUGCUUCAACGUUUUCCUUUCUUUCUUGAGUGGUUUCACUCCAAGUGGGACUUCUUUUGUGCCGUUCGGUUGCCAAAAAAACUGGAGAAUUGUCAUUAUUGAAUUUUGCUGUUGGUUGUUCUUUUAAAAUAAAAACCAAGAUGUUUUCCA